CAAUAGCGUAUAUUAAAGUUGUUGCAGUUAAAGAGCUCGUAGUUGGAUUUCUGGAGGGAGCGUCGGCCCGUAUUUACGAGUGCGUGACGUCUCUGUCCAUCCUUGCGGGAAGGCACGGCAUUGAUUUGUUGUGUCGGAUCGCAUCAUUUACUGUGAAAAAAUUAGAGUGUUCAAAGCAGGCUUUCGCUUGAAUACAUUAGCAUGGAAUAAUAAGAUAGGACUUUGGUGCUAUUUUGUUGGUUGAGCCUAAAGUAAUGAUUAAUAGGGAUAGUUGGGGGCACCUGUAUUGCGUUGUCAGAGGUGAAAUUCUUGGAUUUACGCAAGACAAACAGCUGCGAAAGCGUCUGCCAAGGAUGUUUUCAUUA
rnacentral:rRNA from 1 species